rnacentral:rRNA from 1 species
AAUAGAUACCCAGGUAGUCCACGCCGUAAACGUUGGGCGCUAGAUGUGGGGGACCUUUCCCACGGUUUCCGUGUCGUAGCUAACGCAUUAAGCGCCCCGCCUGGGGAGUACGGCCGCAAGGCUAAAACUCAAAGGAAUUGACGGGGGCCCGCACAAGCGGCGGAGCAUGCGGAUUAAUUCGAUGCAACGCGAAGAACCUUACCAAGGCUUGACAUACACGAGAACGGGCCAGAAAUGGUCAACUCUUUGGACACUCGUGAACAGGUGGUGCAUGGUUGUCGUCAGCUCGUGUCGUGAGAUGUUGGGUUAAGUCCCGCAACGAGCGCAACCCUCGUCGCAUGUUGCCAGCACGUUAUGGUGGGGACUCAUGUGAGACUGCCGGGGUCAACUCGGAGGAAGGUGGGGAUGACGUCAAAUCAUCAUGCCCCUUAUGUCUUGGGCUUCACGCAUGCUACAAUGGCCGGUACAAAGGGCUGCGAUGUCGUAAGGCGGAGCGAAUCCCGAAAAAGCCGGUCUCAGUUCGGA